UGGAAACAAGGUCCUCGCCGUCGAAAACCCCCAAGCCAAGCUCCCCCGUCAUUUUUCCUUCACCGGCAGCAUUGUAUAGCCUCGCCAGAGCCAAAAAAUUUCAGCCUCGAUUCGGUGGCUUCCGGCAAGUUUCUGAUAAUUUGUUCGUCCAGCCAGCUCCAACCGAGGUGUAGGAGCAGACUGCAAAGCGCGGUAGAACUGAUGAAGCGGCAAUAGAACAUGCCACUUGAUGGGUUGCAUCAGAACUACGUAUACACUGGUAUUAAAUAGAGACAUGUAGUAAAAGAAUUUUUUUUUUAGAAUUUGCCCUAAUAGUACAACUCUUUGGGCUAUGAGAAUUUGAUCGCCGGAGGAAAGGUCCCUAGUCGAGCGUCGCUCUCUAAAUGCUAGUGUUAUUGAGAAUUAAGUGGUCAUGCUGGAUAUAAAGACCCUGGUUGAGUUUUGUUCUCUAGGCGCCAGUCUUAUUGUUAUAAGAGAGCCGAAUGACUAAUAAGAUUGGAUUUUAAGAUUCUACUGGGGUACUUGUCUUAUAAACAUUUAAAUUGUAUUUUUUUGAAUCACGGCAUAUGACACAUGUUUUGAUAUAGUAUGAUAUUUUAUUCUGAUUAAAUAUAUAUUUUAUUGA